rnacentral:rRNA from 1 species
AAUACAUGCAAGUCGAGGGGUAACAGGGAAGCUUGCUUCCGCUGACGACCGGCGCACGGGUGCGUAACGCGUAUGCAACCUACCUCUAACUGGGGAAUAGCCCCGAGAAAUCGGGAUUAAUACCUCAUAAUAUUUAUCAUUCGCAUGUUUGAUAAAUUAAAGUUCCGGCGGUUAGAGAUGGGCAUGCGUGACAUUAGCUAGUUGGUGAGGUAACGGCUCACCAAGGCUUCGAUGUCUAGGGGUUCUGAGAGGAUUUUCCCCCACACUGGUACUGAGACACGGACCAGACUCCUACGGGAGGCAGCAGUAAGGAAUAUUGGGCAAUGGACGAAAGUCUGACCCAGCCAUGCCGCGUGCAGGAUGACGGCCCUACGGGUUGUAAACUGCUUUUAUAUAGGAAGAAACCCCCACUCGUGAGUGGGGCUGACGGUACUAUACGAAUAAGCACCGGCUAACUCCGUGCCAGCAGCCGCGGUAAUACGGAGGGUGCAAGCGUUAUCCGGAUUUAUUGGGUUUAAAGGGUGCGCAGGCGGAAUGAUAAGUCAGUGGUGAAAUCCUACAGCUCAACUGUAGAAUUGCCAUUGAUACUACCAUUCUUGAGUACAGUUGAAGUGGGCGGAAUGUAUCAUGUAGCGGUGAAAUGCAUAGAUAUGAUACAGAACUCCGAUAGCGAAGGCAGCUCACUAAACUGAAACUGACGCUCAGGCACGAAAGCGUGGGGAGCAAACAGGAUUAGAUACCCUGGUAGUCCACGCCGUAAACGAUGAUCACUCGUUGUUGGCAACACAUCGUCAGCGACUGAACGAAAGUAUUAAGUGAUCCACCUGGGGAGUACGAUCGCAAGGUUGAAACUCAAAGGAAUUGACGGGGGCCCGCACAAGCGGAGGAGCAUGUGGUUUAAUUCGAUGAUACGCGAGGAACCUUACCUGGGCUCAAAUGCAGAACGACCGUUCGGGAAACCGAACUUCUCUUCGGAGCGGACUGCAAGGUGCUGCAUGGUUGUCGUCAGCUCGUGCCGUGAGGUGUCGGGUUAAGUCCCAUAACGAGCGCAACCCCUAUCCUUAGUUGCCAUCAGGUAAUGCUGGGGACUCUAAGGAAACUGCCUACGCAAGUAGUGAGGAAGGUGGGGAUGACGUCAAAUCAGCACGGCCCUUAUGUCCAGGGCUACACACGUGCUACAAUGGCCGGUACAGAGGGUCGCUACAUGGUGACAUGAUGCU